UUCUACGUGAAUAUGCAGUGUCGAAGAGAAGUCGUUAAGCUCACCGCCUGGGAAGUACGGUCGCAAGACUGAAACUUAAAGGAAUUGGCGGGGGAGCACUACAAGGGGUGCGGCGUGCGGUUUAAUCUAACUCAACGCAGAGAAUCUCACCGGGAGCGACGGCAGGAUGAAAGUCAGGCUGAAGACCUUACUAGACAAGCCGAGAGGUAGUGCAUGGCCGUCGUCAGCUCGUGCCGUAAGGUGUCCUGUUAAGUCAGGCAACGAGCAAGACCUGUACCCAUAAUUGCCAGCAAGUCCUACGGGAUGAUUGGGCACAUUAUGGGAACUGCCCUGGAAACAGGGAGGAAGGUGCAGGCAACGGUAGGUCUGUAUGCUCCGAAUCCCCCGGGCUACACGCGCGCAACAAUGGUAUGGACAACGGGAUGCAACUCCGAAAGGAGAAGCUAAACCUCUAAACCUUAUCCAAGUCCAGAUUGAGGGUUGUAACUCACCCUCAUGACGAUGGAAUCCCUAGUAAUCGGAUGUUAUCAUCGUCCGGUGAAUAUGUCCCUGCUCCUUGCACACACCGCCCGUCAAACCACUCGAGCAGGGUUUAGGUGAGCCUUGCCUUUAUUGGGCAAUGCGAAUCUAAGCUCAGCGAGAUGGGUUAAGUCGUAACAAGGUAGCC
rnacentral:rRNA from 1 species